ACAUGCCUACAACAUAGCAUUAAUGCAGCAGAUCCCAUUAGAACUCUGCAGUUAAGCAUGUUAAGGCUAGAGUAG
rnacentral:rRNA from 1 species